rnacentral:rRNA from 1 species
CCCGCACAAGCGGCGGAGCAUGCGGAUUAAUCGAUGCAACGCGAAGAACCUUACCAAGGCUUGACAUACACCGGUAACGCCCAGAGAUGGGUGCCCCUUUGUGGUCGGUGUACAGGUGGUGCAUGGGUUGUCGUCAGCUCGUGUCGUGAGAUGUUGGGUUAAGUCCCGCAACGAGCGCAACCCUCGUCCUAUGUUGCCAGCGGGUCAUGCCGGGGACUCAUGGGAGACUGCCGGGGUCAACUCGGAGGAAGGUGGGGAUGACGUCAAAUCAUCAUGCCCCUUAUGUCUUGGGCUUCACGCAUGCUACAAUGGCCGGUACAAAGGGCUGCGAUACCGCGAGGUGGAGCGAAUCCCAGAAAGCCGGUCUCAGUUCGGAUUGGGGUCUGCAACUCGACCCCAUGAAGUCGGAGUCGCUAGUGAUCGCGCAUCAGCCAUGGCGCGGUGAAUACGUUCCCGGGCCUU